rnacentral:rRNA from 1 species
UACAGAGGGUGCGAGCGUUGUCCGGAAUCACUGGGCGUAAAGGGCGCGUAGGUGGCGACCCAAGUCUGUGGUGAAAGCUCGCCGCUUAACGGCGAGUCGGCCACGGAUACUGGGUGGCUCGAGCACUGUAGGGGCAGAUGGAAUUCCGGGUGUAGCGGUGGAAUGCGUAGAGAUCCGGAAGAACACCGGUGGCGAAGGCGGUCUGCUGGGCAGUAGCUGACACUGAGGAGCGAAAGGCAUGGGGAGCGAACAGG